rnacentral:lncRNA from 1 species
UUGACAUUUGCAGAUAGUUUGAUAUCGAACUAGUAACUAAUAGUCUGCAUAGUACUAUCUUUGAAAUAAUCAUGGGUGAAAGAUUCGAACUAGAAAACGACAUUGACAUAAAGCUGGGAGAGCCAGCGUAUUACUCUAUUCCUGGGAAUGAACUGUCAGACAUGUCAGCGCGGCCAUACUUCCGUGGUAGUGUCUAUACGCAGGUGAAGCUGAAUGGGCAAAGGAAUACUGUUCUCCAAUUCAAGAUUGGUGGCAGGGCUGGAAGGGAGAUAUACGGGCAAGUGCAACGACCAGGCAAUGCCUUAACCAAGAUAUUUUGCAUCAAGGAGGGUAAUAGGUGGGCAUCGGGGAAGGCCGAGGUGCAAACCGACGUGGUGAUCAAACAAUCUAACGCAGGCGACGUCGGAACCUGGUACAUGUCCAUUUGGUAUAACGGCUAUGAUAACAAAGCGAGUUCAAAGAGGACUGUCAUUGCAUGAGGAUAACUCCGGAUGGUGGUGCUCCGUACUUUGAUUCCUGAGGCUCGAGCUAAGAAGUUAUUCAGAGGGGGGAAACAUCCAAGCAGAAAGUGUUAAGUCUUUUAAAGGGCAAUCCAACCAUUGUAAUAAGUUCAUUUGAAUGAAAGCAGAAUAAAACAGAAUGGUGACAGUUUGACAUAAAUCGAACCAAUAAUAAGAAAGUUAUGAAACGUUGGAAAUAUGAGAUCCAUACUGCUAUGCGAAUCUCAAACUGGCAAUUUUGUCAGUGAAUAUUGUGACGUAAUGAAAGAUAACAGUCUCGUUUGUCGUGUACAUAAAUAUUACUAAUGUCUGUUUAUUUCCGAAAUUCCCGAUUCAGCCAAUAUGAAGAGCCUAUAUCUAUAGUGAUUGAAACUUUCAAUAUUGAAUAAAUUUCUCAAUUUAUGUCCAAUUUCGUUUAAAUUCACCAGUAUGCUUUUCUGAUUCUUCAGCUUUCUUCUAGAGUAGUCUGCUAUCAAGUUUACAUUUCCCUUUAAAUAUCCAUACAAGAAAAUUCUGACAUUGUUUUAUUCUUGUUUGUAACUAUUCCUUUAAAUAAUCUUCUGUCGAUGUACCAACAUUUGCAUGAAGUGGUCUUUAAGCAAUUUAUUGACUUGUUCUUGUUAUACUUGAAGUAGGUAUAUUUUCUGAUAGUAAUCAGUGAACAAUAUUCUGUAUAAUAUUUUAUAAGAUCUGCGAAAAUGAUUUGACUGGAUUGACUAAUCUAUAAUCAUCUGAUCAUUUCUAUUAUACCCGUUUAUUCGUACUGUCUUCAAAGACAUUCUUUUGUCUGUAGUAUAAUUUUUUGUUCUGUUUGUAGGUUAAGCGCAGGUUAUUAAUAGACACUUAACAUUCAUGAACAAUUGCUAUUGUAUUCCUAACAAGUCACGCUAGUUUCCUGUUGAAACAUAACCGUAGAUAAUAGAAGCAUAAUUUAUUUCUUUGAUAAAUCAAAGUUAAUUAAGAAACAUGGAUAAGAGUACACAAAAGGAGCCUGGUGAACAAAUCACAAGUUGAUGUGGAUAGGCCUACGCCUCAUUACCCUGUAAUGAUAACAAGAUCGCAGAAGGCUUCAAAAACAUCACCUUAAGGCUAUUUCAAUAGCAUUGUCCAAAACCUAUUGACAUGUGCAAAAAUAUAAUGAAGUAUUACGUAAUCCGAAUUUGAUUUCUAUUGGAUAUACAAUAGGGAAUUGAAAUUGCUCUAGGAUGAUUUUUUGAAAGUUACUGCGAUCGUAUUUGCAGAAUAAAACUGCAAAGCACAAAUGAUAAGAAGUACAAUACAAGCUUAGGUGACUAUAAAUGUAAGUAAUCUUCGAAAAGAUAAGUAGAUGAAUAGGGAUAAAAGUUAAGUGGAACAUAAAUUAUUGGCCUUACAUGUAUACUUAAGUCAUAAGACUGGUGGAUUCAGAGACUGAUCUCCAUUAUUGGUAACAUUUCAAAGUCUUUCAGAAAGAGUUUCAUCGGUUGUCAAUCCCUUAUCGAAGGGGUUAAAUUGUUUCCAUACUUUGAAUAUAUUAAUCUGGAUGUUGUAAUGGGAAGACGCCAUUUUGCAUAAAUGUGUUCAAACUGAAGGCUGCAAGCACAUCAAGCCUCAUUUUACGCUGUAGCCCUGCUUUGUCUUAUUUAUCUAAUUAAUACUCUCUUUUUUUACAUUUAUGUCAAUAGAUGUAUGUCAAUAGAAAAGCGUAUCAAUAUAUAGAUAUCAAAAUAUAAAUGUCGCAGUAAUGCACAUGGAUAUGUGUGUUCGAGAAAAAAGGAGACAAAUGAUACAGAAAUCGAUAAAUCAAACAAACAAAAGUUAUUCCGCACGUAAUUGUUGUUCAAUUUUGACCAAACGUUUUUUUAGAGUUUGUGAUAGAAGGAUUAAAAGCGGACAUUCAUAUUAAAGUUGAACAGAAAACGAAACGCAUGCUAUCGUGUUUGCAUUUAUGUUUAAUUGUUGUAACAAGUGAAUUGUACGUGAUGGCCUGAGCGCCAGUUAAAGAUAAUGUUGAGUUAUGGUCAUGCGAUUGCAUAGUGAAAGAAAAUGUGUGGAAUGGAUC